GGCAACUCAGCAACUAUUCUUCUGGACAGGUUUUGAUAAAUCUCCUCCUACAUGUAUAUUGCAGACAUAAGGAGACCACAUGGCGGUAGAGUGACACAGCCUGGAGAUGGCGGAAGCAUGAGGAGACCAUGUAGUGGCUGAAUGACACAGCUUGUAGUUGGCAGCAACAUGAGGAGACCAUAUAAUGGCUGAAUGACACAGCCUGGAGGUGUUGGCAGCAUGAGGAGACCAUAUAGUGGCAGAAUGACAGCCUGGAGUUGGCAGCAGCAUGAAGAGACUAUAUAGUGGCUGAAUGACACAGCCUGGAAGUGGCGGAAGCAUGAGGAGAUAAUAUAGUUGCAGAAUGAGACAGCCUGGAGGUGGCAGCAGCAUGAGGAGAACAUAUGGUGGCAGAAGGAGCCAGCCUGGAGCUGGCACCAGCAUGAGGAGAACAUAUGAUGGCAGUAUGAGACAGCCUGGAGGUGGAAUCAGCAGCAUCAGGAGUCCUGAAUGUGACCCGGUGACAUAGUGGGGCGGUGGGUGGCAAUACCAGUACCCGGUGACGAAGAUGGGUGAAAAAAGAAGAAUUUUGCAUCAGAUACGUGGCAUCAGGUACGCUUUAAAUCAAACAAAAGGAAAGGUGUCCAAAAAAACACCAUGUGCCACCUACAACACCAAGUAUUGAUGUGAUGCAAAGACCUCUAAAAGGUGGAAGGGAACAACGUACAGUGGGGAUCAAAAGUUUAGGCACCCCAGGUAAAAAUUUAUAUUAAUGUGCAGAAAGAAGCCAAGGAAAGAUGGAAAAAUCUCCAAAAUGCAUCAAAUUGCAGAUUAGACAUUCUUAUAACAUGCCAACAAAAGUUAGAUUUUAUUUCCAUCAUUUACACUUUCAAAAUAACAGAAAACAAAAAAAUGACGUCUGCAAAAGUUUGGGCACCCUGCAGAAUUUAUAGCAUGCAUUGCCCCCGUUUGCAAAGCUGAGACCUGCCAGUGUCAUGGAUUGUUCUCAAUCAUCAUCUGGGAAGACCAGGUGAUGUCAAUCUCAAAGGUUAAAAAUAGUGUUGCUCGCGAAUAUUCGCAAUGCAAAUUUUAUUUGUGAAUAUCGCAUAUUCGCGAAUAUAGUACUAUAUAUUCAUAAUUACGAAUAUUGUUUUUUUUUUUUUUUUCACAGUACACAUUACAGUGAUCACCCCUCUCUGCU